UACGUAGGGGGCAAGCGUUGUCCGGAUUUAUUGGGCGUAAAGCGCUCGCAGGUGGUUCGAUGCGUCGUGCGUGAAAGACCCCGGCUCAACUGGGGAGGGUCGUGCGAUACGGUCGAACUGGAGGCCAGUAGGGGGAUGCGGAAUUCCAGGUGUAGCGGUGAAAUGCGUAGAUAUCUGGAGGAACACCGGUGGCGAAGGCGGCAUCCUGGACCAACACUGACGCUGAUGAGCGAAAGCCAGGGAGCAACGGGAUUAGCAUG
rnacentral:rRNA from 1 species